UAUCCUGUAUGGUCUGACAGUAAAGGAAUCAAACUGGCUUGGGGCUACAACAUCAACUGCCGUGAUAAUCCUUGAUUGGAACUUGGGAGCUUGCUUGUAUGGUUUUAAGCUUCUGAAAAGUCGAGUCGUCGUACUUUUUGUUGCCGGUACAUCUCGGGUGUUCCUGAUCUGUUUUGGAGUUCAUUACUGGUAGUUUGGACAUUGUAUCAGUUAUGCAGUUGUAGCAUCUGUGCUGUUGGGUGUUUCUGUUUCACGGCAUUUAUCAGUUAC